UACGUAGGGUGCGAGCGUUGUCCGGAAUUAUUGGGCGUAAAGAGCUCGUAGGCGGUCUGUCGCGUCGAUCGUGAAAACUUGGGGCUUAACCCUGAGCUUGCGGUCGAUACGGGCAUGACUGGAGUUCGGCAGGGGAGACUGGAAUUCCUGGUGUAGCGGUGAAAUGCGCAGAUAUCAGGAGGAACACCGGUGGCGAAGGCGGCAUCCUGGACCGACAUUGACGCUGAGGCGCGAAAGCCAGGGGAGCAAACGGG
rnacentral:rRNA from 1 species